UUUUCUCUGACCUUGUCCUUUAUGUCCUAUUUCAUGGAUGCAAUCAACACCUUUUUAAAAAUAUUGAUGAUAAUCUUAAUUUGUUAAAAUAGUUCCCAUUUUUGGCUCUGGCUUUUGCUCUGGUGUGUGUCCUGCCACGGCUUUCCUUGGCUGCCUGGUGCUCUUUAAUCUCAUAUUGGAGAGCAGCCUGACGUGCUGGAGGGAAGCUCAGUGCGGGAGGUGCUGGUGGGACUGUGGCCGUUUGUCUCCGGCAGUGCUUUCCCACUUGUGAUUUUUGUGGCAAUAUAUCAAGUAUUGGCAAUACUGAGACUUUUGGUUGUCACAGUUGGGGGAUGCUACUGGCCAGAGAAAUGUUGCUAUGAACACUCACAGUGUACAGGAGCUCCACAACAAAGACCCGACUAAAAUAUCAAAAGUGUUGAGGUGGAGAAACCCUGGGUGAGGGUGAUCCCAGAGGAGUCAGGUCUUAGUGUGACUUGAAUCUGUGGGGCUGGCGGGGAAGAGGUCACCGUACAGCAGCAAAAGUAGGUUUACAGCUCACAGGUAGUUCCUGCUUUGUGGCUUCAGCAUGCACAAAUUCUAUACCACCGUUUGGGUAGAUAACCCAGUCUCCCAGCAACAUGGUUCAAAUUUCAGUUGCUGUGGACAUGUACUAACUCGGAUGCUAGCUCUUCAGUGCAGAAAGCACAUUCACAGAGCAGAUGCGCAUCAGCACCAGUGACCUGCCCAGGCCCUCCUCUCAUCUGUGGGUGGCUGGUUGCUGCACAUCUGUGAACUCUGCUCCCUCGGGAUGACAGCUCGCGGCGCGGCGGCGUCUCCUGUUCUCCCUGCAGUGGAGUGGGCUGCAGAGCUAGUGCGUUUAGUGCCACUGAUGUGUUAGCUCCUCAUUCUCUUAGCGACUUGAAUAAAAGUGUCAAAACUUGCUUUUUUACCAUCAAACACAGCUCUCAUCAAUUCGGCCAGUGGACAAAGAGGUUAUUUCCACUUUCAUGGACUCUAGGACAGGCUAUUGCUGCUAUGACUGGAGAUUUUGCAAUUACUUUAGCCGAGGCUUGGAAGAAAUUGAAAGCAUCGUAACAAAAUGUGACAGUAAUGCACAGUGUGGCAGAAUUCAAACUGAACAUAAACUGGCUUGUAUUUGACCGGGGAAAGGCUGGCGCUGCUGCUAUGAGAGGAAGUUGAUGAAGGUGACCUUGUCAACAU